rnacentral:rRNA from 1 species
CCUACGGGAGGCUGCAGUGGGGAAUAUUGGACAAUGGGGGGAACCCUGAUCCAGCCAUGCCGCGUGUGUGAAGAAGGCCCUCGGGUUGUAAAGCACUUUCAGUGAGGAAGAACGCCUGGUGGUUAAUACCCAUCAGGAAAGACAUCACUCACAGAAGAAGCACCGGCUAACUCCGUGCCAGCAGCCGCGGUAAUACGGAGGGUGCGAGCGUUAAUCGGAAUUACUGGGCGUAAAGCGCGCGUAGGUGGCUUGAUAAGCCGGUUGUGAAAGCCCCGGGCUCAACCUGGGAACGGCAUCCGGAACUGUGAAGCUAGAGGGCAGGAGAGGAAGGUAGAAUUCCCGGUGUAGCGGUGAAAUGCGUAGAGAUCGGGAGGAAUACCAGUGGCGAAGGCGGCCUUCUGGGCUGACACUGACGCUGAGGUGCGAAAGCGUGGGUAGCAAACAGGAUUAGAUACCCGAGUAGUC